UAGUCCACGCCCUAAACGAUGAUUACUCGGUAUUGGCGAUAUACUGUCAGUGCCCAAGCGAAAGCAUUAAGUAAUCCACCUGGGGAGUACGUUGGCAACAAUGAAACUCAAAGGAAUUGACGGGGGUCCGCACAAGCGGGGGAGCAUGUGGUUUAAUUCGAUGAUACGCGAGGAACCUUACCUAGUCUCUAAUGCAUUCGGACCGUUCCUGAAAGGGAAUUUUCUCUUCGGAGACUGAAUGCAAGGUGUUGCAUGGUUGUCGUCAGCUCGUGCCGUGAGGUGUUGGGUUAAGUCCCGCAACGAGCGCAACCCCUAUCCUUAGUUGCCAGCACGUAAUGGUGGGGACUCUAAGGAAACUGCCUACGCAAGUAGUGAGGAAGGCGGGGACGACGUCAAAUCAUCAUGGCCUUUAUGACUAGGGCUACACACAUGCUACAAUGGUCGAUACAAUGGGCUGCAAACUGGUGACAGUGAGCGAAUCUCAAAAAGUCGAUCUCAGUUCGGAUU
rnacentral:rRNA from 1 species